rnacentral:rRNA from 1 species
GAUGAACGCUAGCGGGAGGCCUAACACAUGCAAGCCGAGCGGUAUUGUUUCUUCGGAAAUGAGAGAGCGGCGUACGGGUGCGUAACACGUGUGCAACCUGCCUUUAUCUGGGGGAUAGCCUUUCGAAAGGAAGAUUAAUACUCCAUAAUAUAUUGAACGGCAUCGUUUAAUAUUGAAAGCUCCGGCGGAUAGAGAUGGGCACGCGCAAGAUUAGCUAGUUGGUGAGGUAACGGCUCACCAAGGCGAUGAUCUUUAGGGGGCCUGAGAGGGUGAUCCCCCACACUGGUACUGAGACACAGACCAGACUCCUACGGGAGGCAGCAGUGAGGAAUAUUGGUCAAUGGGUGCAAGCCUGAACCAGCCAUCCCGCGUGAAGGACGACUGCCCUAUGGGUUGUAAACUUCUUUUGUAUAGGGAUAAACCUACCCUCGAGAGGGUAGCUGAAGUUACUAUACGAAUAAGCACCGGCUAACUCCGUG